GCUUUGCGCAACCGGUUAGCGCAUUCGGCUGUUAACCGAAAGGUUGGUGGUUCGUGCCCACCCGGAGGCU
rfam:Schistosoma curassoni strain Dakar, Senegal genome assembly, scaffold: SCTD_scaffold0000200